AACGAACGCUGGCGGCAUGCCUAACACAUGCAAGUCGAACGAGACCUUCGGGUCUAGUGGCGCACGGGUGCGUAACGCGUGGAACCUGCCCUUAGGUUCGGAAUAACUCCCCGAAAGGGGUGCUAAUACCGGAUAAUGUCUUCGGACCAAAGAUUUAUCGCCUUUGGAUGGGCCCGCGUUGGAUUAGCUAGUUGGUAGGGUAAAAGCCUACCAAGGCGACGAUCCAUAGCUGGUCUGAGAGGAUGAUCAGCCACACUGGGACUGAGACACGGCCCAGACUCCUACGGGAGGCAGCAGUGGGGAAUAUUGGACAAUGGGCGAAAGCCUGAUCCAGCAAUGCCGCGUGAGUGAUGAAGGCCUUAGGGUUGUAAAGCUCUUUUACCCGGGAUGAUAAUGACAGUACCGGGAGAAUAAGCUCCGGCUAACUCCGUG
rnacentral:rRNA from 1 species